rnacentral:rRNA from 1 species
AUUGAACGCUGGGGGCAGGCCUAACACAUGCAAGUCGAACGGUAACAGGAAGAAGCUUGCUUCUUUGCUGACGAGUGGCGGACGGGUGAGUAAUGUCUGGGAAACUGCCUGAUGGAGGGGGAUAACUACUGGAAACGGUAGCUAAUACCGCAUAACGUCGCAAGACCAAAGAGGGGGACCUUCGGGCCUCUUGCCAUCGGAUGUGCCCAGAUGGGAUUAGCUAGUAGGUGGGGUAACGGCUCACCCAGGCGACGAUCCCUAGCUGGUCUGAGAGGAUGACCAGCCACACUGGAACUGAGACACGGUCCAGACUCCUACGGGAGGCAGCAGUGGGGAAUAUUGCACAAUGGGCGCAAGCCUGAUGCAGCCAUGCCGCGUGUAUGAAGAAGGCCUUCGGGUUGUAAAGUACUUUCAGCGGGGAGGAAGGGAGUAAAGUUAAUACCUUUGCUCAUUGACGUUACCCGCAGAAGAAGCACCGGCUAACUCCGUG